UGGAUCAGUCAAACGGAACUUGUUGCAGUAGACAUAAGGUGUUUGCUUUUGCUGGCUGAACACUUGCCAAGGUGUUCUACAACAGUCAGAUUCAAUAUUGUAGUAGACAUGGUACGAUCUGCUACACUCGACACAUGGCUUCCAGAACAGGUUGCAUUUAUUCAAACAAUGGGAAAUGAGAAGUUGAAUAGCUACU